CUUUACCAUGUUACCAAGCUGGUUUAACCACAGAGAGUUACAAACACUUCUUACUGAUUUACUUUGGAGCUAAGUACAAAUCUCUUAUUUCCCCCUGGACCGAUUUAUUUCCUCAUUCUAACUGAGGGAACCAAGGUCCAUCCAUUAGACAUGGUCAGCCACGCCAAAGAGCGCCGCUUGCGCCAGUGCGCGUGGUGAUCAUGGCUGCAGGCAUGGUCUCGCUUGUUCGGGCCACUAUGCUCGUCUCCUCCCUCCUUGUUUCGACCUCCAUUCAUGUCUAGUAGCUCCCCCGUGAUGCCCUGAGUCACCCUGCAUCGCUGCCUCGUCGUGGUUCGACUUAAAUGAGCCGCAAAGGCCAUGCCCGUGCCACAAACCGGCUCUGUUCUCCAUUGUUUGAAGUUGGAGCUCGCCUGUGAGCUCGAGAAGCCUCCCCGUGGCUAUAUAAGGCAUGCCCGAGGUCCCCUGCUCCUCAUCGCUCCCUCCCUCGCCUAAUUUUCUCUCUGGAAUCGCCCCACCUCGCCUCGGAUCACCUCCGUCCGCCAUGGCCGCCUCGGUUCCUCCUUGGUUCCGGCGAGCCUAGUCCACCUCUCCUCCUCUAGCCACCUCCUGAGCGUUCCCCUCCUUCCCGCGGUCCUCCCCACCCUGCCAGUUCGUCGCCGGAGUCCCUCUGGCCGUGCCUCCCGGCGCUUGGCCGUCGCCGUUGCUCUCGGCCACCACCCCGACCGUGUCCAUCCGAGCCUCCUCUCUCCCUCCCGACUCCACCACCGGCCUCCCCGUGCUCCGCUGAGUCGUCCCAUCCACUUGUCCCUCGCCGGAGCUGCCCACAUCGCCAAAGACCACCGCCGCCCUCUACCUCCCCUCGGUCCUCCUCCGCCCCGCGUCCUCCUCUCCCCCCAGGGCCGGCCCCGGCCGACCCCCUGGACGGACGCGCCACGCCGGGCCGCGCCAGCCGGUGCCCGCGCCCUGGCCGGAUAUGGCCUGGACCGGCCGCCCCAGCGCCGCCCCCUCCCCUGUUUCCUCUCCUCUGCUCACGGGAGCACAAGAGCGAGAGGAGGAAGACGACACCUUGCCAGCUGGCCAGGCGGGCCCCCCUCUCCAACGGACCCCACCUGGAUCUGUUUGCUGAAGUUUCUUCACAGAUUGGUCCUUCUUCUUCCAACCUUCACAACUUUUCAACCGUAACUCCGAUCGAGCCUUUCGAGAGAAAACCGUCCGACGUUUUGUUUCGCGGCUUCACCAGUCUCCGUCACCCCAGG